ensembl:lncRNA
CGCUGCAGGAUGGAAACACUGGUUUUCCCAUUCGUAUGCCAACAGAAGGAGAGUCCAUCACAAUCAAAUGCACAUGUUCUUCUCCUGGACAAAAGAAACUGUUCUGUAAGAAAAAUGGCGAAACAACUACUCUCUUUCAAACAACUAAUGACAUGGCUCAGAGGGGGAGAUACAGCAUUCACAACGAUUUUCUUUAUCUGAGCAUCACACAGCUGAAAACCUCAGACUCAGGCAUGUACAACUGCACUUUGAACGAAUCGGAGAAUCUGGAGUCAUGCUGUAAUUUUCAGAUUGUUGUCACAGGUCUGAACAGACGGAGAAACCCCGACCACAACACGACUGAGGUUACACUUUAUGAGAAUUGUUCUCCAGUCUCCACACCAGAUGACCCGAUCUAUCAGAGCCUUGAUCCAGCCAGCAGGGACCUGGAUCAAAUCUACUCUUCACUCACAC